rnacentral:misc_RNA from 1 species
GCUCAGGGUGGCGAUUUUGUUAAGCGGGAUGGGUCUGGUGGAGAGAGCAUUUACGGGGGAAAGUUUCCAGAUGAGACUCCAAGGCUUAAGCAUGAUGGUCCUGGUCUUCUGUCAAUGUCAAUUGCUGACCGUGACACACUAGGUUCUCAAUUUAUCAUUACCUUUAAGGCUAAUCAUCUUCUUGAUAGGAAGUAUGUAGCCUUUGGGAAGCUUGUACAAGGAGAUGAAGUGCUGAAAAAAAUUGAAAGUGUAGGCGAUGAAGAAGGGAGACCAUUGGUAACAGUGAAAAUAAUCAAUUGUGGUGAAUUUAAGGAGGGUGCGGACAAGAAGAAAGUACAUAAACUUAAAAUGGGAAAGGAUGCUUUGUCUGAUUCUGAUAGUCAUGAAGCGCGAAAGAAAGGAAAGCACAAGAAAUCAUCAAGAGACAGAAAGAAGAAGAGGAGAAGAUACCACUCAUCUGAGUCAGAGAGUUCAUAUGAUUCUGAUAUGGGAUCAUCCGAGUCUGAUAGUGAUUCUGACUCUUAUAUGUCCUCGUCUGAUAUUAGUUCCUCAAGUGAUGAAAGGCGUAAGAAGAGAAAGAGAUCUUCUAAAAGAGACAAGUAUAGACGUGGAAAAAGAAGAGAGAAACGGCGUGAAAAAAGGCAAAAGAAACGUGACAAGAGAUCCAGACGUAGAUCAAGAAGGGCAUCAGAUAGCCUUACUGAAGAUGAGAGUGAGAGUAAAAGUGGAGGCAGCUCUGAUGAUGAUGAUCUUGAAGUCCAGGCGAAAGAUCGAAGACGUAAAGAUGCUUUGAUGAAAAAUGCAGGGGAUCAGUUGCCGGUGGUUCUGGAGGAAGAUGCUUCCUUGCCUCAUAAAAUGAGGGAAGAACAAGAUAUACUCAAAAAGGAAGAGGGUGGAUCCCCUAAGGAAAAUGGAGGGCGGCGGAGCAAUGGCAUUGAGGCAGAUGCUACAUCUGACAGAAGUGAAGAUGGAUUACCUGAUGUUGUAGACGAUCAUCCGGGCAAAUCUAGGAGCCGAAGCAUGAGUCCCAAGAGGACCAUGAGUAAGAGUAU